rnacentral:lncRNA from 1 species
GUGGAGUCAGUCUUUAAACCCAGAAGUCUGGCCUCUUUACUGUUGUAUUAUACCUGCCUCAGAAAACAGGCACACUAGAACUGAUGAUGAAGAUAUGCUCGUUUUUAUUCAGAGUUGUUUUCUGGGGUUGGGAAAGCACUUAUUUGAAGAAGGUUCUUUUGCUUUGUCAAGUUAGACACUUGGGAAUAUUUGCUAAGUAUCGUGUAGUCGUUUUCUAUUGCUGUGUAACAAAUUGCCCCAAAACUCAGGAGCUUAAAAUAACAAACAUUUGGCAUCUUGCAGUUUCCGUAGGUCAGUAAUCUAGGCACAGCUGAUCUCAGGGCGUCUGACUCAGGAUCUCUCACAAGAUGGCAAUCACAGCACUGGUGGGCACUGUGGUCUCAUGAGAGAGCUGGACUUGGGGCAGAUCCGCUUCCAAGCUCACUCAAGGUAUUGUGAGAGGCAUUCAGGUCCUCGUGUGCUGCUGGACUCAGAGGUUUGUGGAAGCGUUCGGGUCCUCACGUGCUGCUGGACGGAGGGCCUCAGUCCCUCAGUGGCUGUUGACCAAAGGCCUCGCUUAGUUCCUUACCGUGUGGACUUCUCCAAGGGCAGCUCACACAUGGGGAUUGGCCUCUAUCAAAGCGGGUAAGAGGGAAAGAUUGGGGGCAUGCCCCUAGAUAAAGCCACAGUCUUUGUAACCUAAACCUAAUCUCAGCAAUGACACCUUAUAAUUUCUGUCAUGUGUUAUGAAUUAGAGGCAAGUCAGUAAGUCCAGUUCAAACCUAAAGGAAAGGGAGUGCACGAGGAUGUGAGUUCUGGGAGGUGAGGCUCUCUGGGGCCAUCUUGGAGGCUGCCGACUACAGUGUGAACUCUUAUUUUAUUCAGAAGAUUUGGUAUAUUUGCUGGCCAGAAAGCAAGGAACUGUUCUAACAAACUUUCUGAAUCUCUGAAAAAAACUCAUGAAAAGAAGAGUGAAGGAGGCAGAGUCCCGGAUAUUCUUAGCCAGACCCUCCAUGAGCUUGGCUGCCAUCUGACACAAACAUGUCAGCGGGGACGGAAGAUGAGCACGGGCCAUCCAGGAAACAGUUGAAAAUGUGGAAUUGAAUGUCAUAAAGAAGGUCAAGAUUGAAGACAGCCAGUUUGCAAUAAAGUACUAUUAAAAUGGAAACAUUAUUUCAAAGGUCUCCAAAUAUGUUC